rnacentral:piRNA from 1 species
UAAUUCAGUGAAACUGUUAAA